rnacentral:rRNA from 1 species
UGGGGAAUAUUGCACAAUGGGCGCAAGCCUGAUGCAGCAACGCCGCGUGAACGAUGAAGGUCUUCGGAUCGUAAAGUUCUGUUGCAGGGGAAGAUAAUGACGGUACCCUGUGAGGAAGCCCCGGCUAACUACGUGCCAGCAGCCGCGGUAAUACGUAGGGGGCUAGCGUUAUCCGGAUUUACUGGGCGUAAAGGGUUCGCAGGCGGAAAUGUAAGUCAGGUGUAAAAGGCAGUAGCUUAACUACUGUAAGCAUUUGAAACUGCAUAUCUUGAGAAGAGUAGAGGUAAGUGGAAUUUUUAGUGUAGCGGUGAAAUGCGUAGAUAAUAAAAAGAAUACCGGUGGCGAAGGCGACUUACUGGGCUCAGUCUGACGCUGAGGAACGAAAGCGUGGGUAGCAAACAGG